CCCAGACUCCUACGGGAGGCAGCAGUGGGGAAUAUUGGGCAAUGGGCGCAAGCUUGACCCAGCAACGCCGCGUGAAGGAAGAAGGCUUUCGGGUUGUAAACUUCUUUUCUCAGGGACGAAGCAAGUGACGGUACCUGAGGAAUAAGCCACGGCUAACUACGUGCCAGCAGCCGCGGUAAUACGUAGGGGGCAAGCGUUACCCGGAUUUACUGGGUGUAAAGGGAGCGUAGACGGCAGCGCAAGUCUGAAGUGAAAUGCCGGGGCUUAACCCCGGAACUGCUUUGGAAACUGUGCAGCUAGAGUGCAGGAGAGGUAAGUGGAAUUCCUAGUGUAGCGGUGAAAUGCGUAGAUAUUAGGAGGAACACCAGUGGCGAAGGCGGAUUGCUGGACAGUAACUGACGCUGAGGCGCGAAAGCGUGGGGAGCAAACAGGAUUAGAUACCCUGGUAAG
rnacentral:rRNA from 1 species